GGUGACCUGCGGAAGGAUCAUUACCGAGUGCGGGUCCUUUGGGCCCAACCUCCCAUCCGUGUCUAUUAUACCCUGUUGCUUCGGCGGGCCCGCCGCUUGUCGGCCGCCGGGGGGGCGCCUUUGCCCCCCGGGCCCGUGCCCGCCGGAGACCCCAACACGAACACUGUCUGAAAGCGUGCAGUCUGAGUUGAUUGAAUGCAAUCAGUUAAAACUUUCAACAAUGGAUCUCUUGGUUCCGGCAUCGAUGAAGAACGCAGCGAAAUGCGAUAACUAAUGUGAAUUGCAGAAUUCAGUGAAUCAUCGAGUCUUUGAACGCACAUUGCGCCCCCUGGUAUUCCGGGGGGCAUGCCUGUCCGAGCGUCAUUGCUGCCCUCAAGCCCGGCUUGUGUGUUGGGUCGCCGUCCCCCUCUCCGGGGGGACGGGCCCGAAAGGCAGCGGCGGCACCGCGUCCGAUCCUCGAGCGUAUGGGGCUUUGUCACAUGCUCUGUAGGAUUGGCCGGCGCCUGCCGACGUUUUCCAACCAUUUUUUCCAGGUUGACCUCGGAUCAGGUAGGGAUACCCGCUGAACUUAAGCAUAUCAAUAAGCGGAGGAAAAGAAACCAACCGGGAUUGCCUCAGUAACGGCGAGUGAAGCGGCAAGAGCUCAAAUUUGAAAGCUGGCUCCUUCGGAGUCCGCAUUGUAAUUUGCAGAGGAUGCUUUGGGUGCGGCCCCCGUCUAAGUGCCCUGGAACGGGCCGUCAGAGAGGGUGAGAAUCCCGUCUUGGGCGGGG
rnacentral:rRNA from 1 species